ACUGCUAAUACCGCAUAAAGUUGAGAGACCAAAGCAUGGGACCUACGGGCCAUGCGCCAUUUGAUGAACCCAUAUGGGAUUAGCUAGUUGGUGUGGUAAWGGCUYACCAAGGCGACGAUCUCUAGCUGGUCUGAGAGGAUGACCAGCCACACUGGAACUGAGACACGGUCCAGACUCCUACGGGAGGCAGCAGUGGGGAAUAUUGCACAAUGGGGGGAACCCUGAUGCAGCCAUGCCGCGUGUAUGAAGAAGGCCUUCGGGUUGUAAAGUACUUUCGGUGAUGAGGAAGGUGAUGWAUCUAAUAGGUKYAUUAAUUGACGUUAAUCACAGAAGAAGCACCGGCUAACUCCGUGCCAGCAGCCGCGGUAAUACGGAGGGUGCGAGCGUUAAUCGGAAUGACUGGGCGUAAAGGGCAUGUAGGCGGAUAAUUAAGUUAGGUGUGAAAGCCCUGGGCUCAACCUAGGAAUUGCACUUAAAACUGGUUAACUAGAGUAUUGUAGAGGAAGGUAGAAUUCCACGUGUAGCGGUGAAAUGCGUAGAGAUGUGGAGGAAUACCGGUGGCGAAGGCGGCCUUCUGGACAGAUACUGACGCUGAGAUGCGAAAGCGUGGGGAGCAAACAGGAUUAGAUACCCUGGUAGUCCACGCUGUAAACGAUGUCGAUUUGGAGUUUGUUGCCUAGAGUGAUGGGCUCCGAAGCUAACGCGAUAAAUCGACCGCCUGGGGAGUACGGCCGCAAGGUUAAAACUCAAAUGAAUUGACGGGGGCCCGCACAAGCGGUGGAGCAUGUGGUUUAAUUCGAUGCAACGCGAAGAACCUUACCUGGUCUUGACAUCCACAGAAUCUUGUAGAGAUACGAGAGUGCCUUCGGGAACUGUGAGACAGGUGCUGCAUGGCUGUCGUCAGCUCGUGUUGUGAAAUGUUGGGUUAAGUCCCGCAACGAGCGCAACCCUUAUCCUUUGUUGCCAUCGAUUAGGUCGGGAACUCAAAGGAGACUGCCGUUGAUAAAGCGGAGGAAGGUGGGGACGACGUCAAGUCAUCAUGGCCCUUACGACCAGGGCUACACACGUGCUACAAUGGCGUAUACAAAGGGAGGCGACCUCGCGAGAGUAAGCGGACCUCACAAAGUACGUCUAAGUCCGGAUUGGAGUCUGCAACUCGACUCCAUGAAGUCGGAAUCGCUAGUAAUCGUGAAUCAGAAUGUCACGGUGAAUACGUUCCCGGGCCUUGUACACACCGCCCG
rnacentral:rRNA from 1 species